UUUGUUUUACACAGGGCGAUUCUUUAGACUCUCCCGAAUCCAAUGAUAUAUAUCAUCAAACUAUUCCGAGCUCGGCAAUAUUUUUCAAAACGUCCACAAAAUUACGAAACCCUGGAGUUACGUUUCCAACUUUGUCAAUUUUUCGUGGUUGCACCGUAAACGCUGCUCAAAUUUGUUUUACAUAAAUUCUUUAGACUCUGUCGAAACUUCCAUAAUAUUAUAAUAAUUAUAAUAAUCUCCCAUAAAAUUUCCAUAGUAUUCCGAACGUUGCAACAUUUCUUUCAAAUAUCCACAAAAUCGUCGAUCUCGCUUCACUCUUUCUCGCGCGAACGUCCGAGCGCAUCGUUCAAGUCUGAGAUUAAAAUUAAAGCAGAAAAUUGUGAAAAACUCACCCCCCCCCCAAAAAAAAUUCAAUUUCAAAGCGAACGAAAAAUUCGCCGGAAUGCCAGGGCGAGCCAAUUAAUUGUUAAUUAACCGAACGAAAAAACAGAGGUUGCAGGGAUCGUCUACGGAUCGGAGGAGAAUUUCACCGUCGGGGGCCAGUGGCGUAGAGAACGAGGCUCCCCCCUCGGGUUCAAUUUGCCCGUAAUUUGACCUUCGCUAAUUAACCUGUAUAUAAUUGGAUAUGUUUAAGGGGAUCGCGACGGCGCGGCUCGGCGCGGCGGCGGCGUAAACGUUUCGACGCCGAGGCUCUGCGGAGCUAUAGCUUGUCACUUAUGCGAGAAUUCGAUGGCCAGCAGCAGGUCGGAGGGCACCCAUGGGGUCUUUUACCCCGGAAUCUUUUCUACGCGCACAACGGCCUUUACGUACCAUAAGAAGUCUAAUAAAGAGCAGUUCAACCAAGUAGUUUUCUUUACCAUUACACCCCCCCCCCCUCCGGCGCCACCCCUCCAAUGAAACUUCACUGUCGCCGAUUCCGACCGAUGCCGGCUUAAACUCUCCGACAACUGUUUGUAAAUAAAACGCAUUUCGAGCAA